UGCUCUAGGGCCUCCACCUCCACCUAGACCUCCAGGUGGCGCACCUCCUCCACCUCCUCCUGCUGGUGCCAAAGGAGCAAUUCUUGAUGCAAGAGGCCUAUUUGCAGGGAGGGGGCAUGGGCUUUCACGUCCUAUAGGGAUAGGGGCCGCUGCUGCUGCCCCUCGAAGAUCUUCAUUAAAACCACUGCACUGGAGCAAGUUUACAAGAGCAUUGCAAGGAAGCUUGUGGGAAGAAUUGCAAAGAUAUGGGGAUCCUCAAAUUGCUCCAGAAUUUGAUGUGUCAGAGAUAGAGAGUCUUUUCUCUGCAACAGUCCCUAAACCUGCUGAUUCAGGGGGUAAAGCUGGAGGGCGUCGUAAGUCUGCUGGAUCCAAAACUGACAAAGUUCACCUGGUAAUUGUAUAGAAAUUGAAUAUUUUUUCUAGCAUUAUUAUUAAGAAGACUCUUGCUUGAGCUUUCUUGAGAGGUCCCAGGCUCCUAGAAAUGCCUGUGUUAUCAUUCUUUUUCAUUUCUUCAUUUAAUUCAGCCAUACAGUAUUUAUUUUUGCCUAUUCUUCUUAGUUUU